rnacentral:sRNA from 1 species
UUUCUUUCUUUCUUUCUUUU